rnacentral:rRNA from 1 species
AACGCGAAGAACCUUACCAGCCCUUGACAUGUCCCGUAUGAGUACCAGAGAUGGAACUCUUCAGUUCGGCUGGCGGGAACACAGGUGCUGCAUGGCUGUCGUCAGCUCGUGUCGUGAGAUGUUGGGUUAAGUCCCGCAACGAGCGCAACCCUCGCCCUUAGUUGCCAUCAUUUAGUUGGGCACUCUAAGGGGACUGCCGGUGAUAAGCCGCGAGGAAGGUGGGGAUGACGUCAAGUCCUCAUGGCCCUUACGGGCUGGGCUACACACGUGCUACAAUGGCGGUGACAGUGGGAUGCAAUGGAGAGAUCCUGCGCAAAUCUCAAAAAGCCGUCUCAGUUCGGAUUGUGCUCUGCAACUCGAGCACAUGAAGUUGGAAUCGCUAGUAAUCGCAGAUCAGCACGCUGCGGUGAAUACGUUCCCGGGCCUUGUA